rnacentral:rRNA from 1 species
GAUGAACGCUGGCGGCGUGCCUAAUACAUGCAAGUCGAGCGAACAGAUAAGGAGCUUGCUCCUUUGACGUUAGCGGCGGACGGGUGAGUAACACGUGGGUAACCUACCUAUAAGACUGGGAUAACUUCGGGAAACCGGAGCUAAUACCGGAUAACAUUUGGAACCGCAUGGUUCUAAAGUGAAAGAUGGUUUUGCUAUCACUUAUAGAUGGACCCGCGCCGUAUUAGCUAGUUGGUAAGGUAACGGCUUACCAAGGCGACGAUACGUAGCCGACCUGAGAGGGUGAUCGGCCACACUGGAACUGAGACACGGUCCAGACUCCUACGGGAGGCAGCAGUAGGGAAUCUUCCGCAAUAGGCGAAAGCCUGACGGAGCAACGCCGCGUGAGUGAUGAAGGGUUUCGGCUCGUAAAACUCUGUUAUUAGGGAAGAACAAAUGUGUAAGUAACUGUGCACGUCUUGACGGUACCUAAUCAGAAAGCCUCGGCUAACUACGUG